GGGCCUGUAGCUCAGUGGUAGAGCAUCUCGUUUACACCGAGAGGGUCGGCGGUUCGAAACCGUCCGGGCCCA
rnacentral:tRNA from 1 species